rnacentral:rRNA from 1 species
CCUACGGGCGGCUGCAGUGGGGAAUAUUGCACAAUGGGCGCAAGCCUGAUGCAGCCAUGCCGCGUGUGUGAAGAAGGCCUUCGGGUUGUAAAGCACUUUCAGCGGGGAGGAAGGCGGUGAGGUUAAUAACCUCAUCGAUUGACGUUACCCGCAGAAGAAGCACCGGCUAACUCCGUGCCAGCAGCCGCGGUAAUACGGAGGGUGCAAGCGUUAAUCGGAAUUACUGGGCGUAAAGCGCACGCAGGCGGUCUGUCAAGUCGGAUGUGAAAUCCCCGGGCUCAACCUGGGAACUGCAUUAGAAACUGGCAGGCUAGAGUCUUGUAGAGGGGGGUAGAAUUCCAGGUGUAGCGGUGAAAUGCGUAGAGAUCUGGAGGAAUACCGGUGGCGAAGGCGGCCCCCUGGACAAAGACUGACGCUCAGGUGCGAAAGCGUGGGGAGCAAACAGGAUUAGAUACCCCUGUAGUC